rnacentral:rRNA from 1 species
GGCAGCAGCCGCGGUAACACCGGCGGCCCGAGUGGUGAUCGUGAUUAUUGGGUCUAAAGGGUCCGUAGCCGGUUUGGUCAGUCCUCCGGGAAAUCUGAUAGCUCAACUAUUAGGCUUUCGGGGGAUACUGCCAGACUUGGAACCGGGAGAGGUAAGAGGUACUACAGGGGUAGGAGUGAAAUCUUGUAAUCCCUGUGGGACCACCUGUGGCGAAGGCGUCUUACCAGAACGGGUUCGACGGUGAGGGACGAAAGCUGGGGGCACGAACCGGAUUAGAUACCCGGGUAGUCCCAGCCGUAAACGAUGCUCGCUAGGUGUCAGGCAUGGCGCGACCGUGUCUGGUGCCGCAGGGAAGCCGUGAAGCGAGCCACCUGGGAAGUACGGCCGCAAGGCUGAAACUUAAAGGAAUUGGCGGGGGAGCACAACAACGGGUGGAAGCCUGCGGUUUAAUUGGACUCAACGCCGGACAACUCACCGGGGGCGACAGCAAUAUGUAGGCCAAGCUGAAGACUUUGCCUGAAUCGCUGAGGGGAGGUGCAUGG